CCUACGGGGUGCAGCAGUGAGGAAUAUUGGUCAAUGGGCGUAAGCCUGAACCAGCCAAGUCGCGUGAGGGAUGAAGGUUCUAUGGAUCGUAAACCUCUUUUAUAAGGGAAUAAAGUGUGGGACGUGUCCUGUUUUGUAUGUACCUUAUGAAUAAGGAUCGGCUAACUCCGUGCCAGCAGCCGCGGUAAUACGGAGGAUCCGAGCGUUAUCCGGAUUUAUUGGGUUUAAAGGGUGCGUAGGCGGUCUUUUAAGUCAGCGGUGAAAGUCGGUGGCUCAACCAUAGAAUUGCCGUUGAAACUGGAAGGCUUGAGUAGGCUUGAGGCAGGCGGAAUGCGCGGUGUAGCGGUGAAAUGCAUAGAUAUCGCGCAGAACCCCGAUUGCGAAGGCAGCGUGCCGAGGCAUGACUGACGCUGAUGCACGAAAGCGUGGGGAUCGAACAGGAUUAGAUACCCGAGUAGUC
rnacentral:rRNA from 1 species